rnacentral:rRNA from 1 species
CCCUUAGAUGUUCGGGGCCGCACGCGCGCUACACUGAAGGAAUCAGCACGUCUUUCUCCUUGUCCGAAAGGACUGGGUAACCCGCUGAACCUCCUUCGUGCUAGGGAUUGGGGCUUAUAAUUCUUCCCCAUGAACGAGGAAUUCCCAGUAAGCGCGAGUCAUAAGCUCGCGUUGAUUACGUCCCUGCCCUUUGUACACACCGCCCGUCGCUACUACCGAUUGGAUGGUUUAGUGAGAUCCUCGGAUUGGUCCCGGCGCGGCCUCUGGUCGUGCCGGAGUGCCGAAAAGAAUGUCGAACUUGAUCAUCUAGAGGAAGUAAAAGUCGUAACA